GACGAACGCUGGCGGCGUGCUUAACACAUGCAAGUCGAACGGAAAGGCCUCUUUCGGGGGGUACUCGAGUGGCGAACGGGUGAGUAACACGUGAGUAACCUGCCCUUGACUUUGGGAUAACUUCAGGAAACUGGGGCUAAUACCGGAUAGGAGCUCCUGCUGCAUGGUGGGGGUUGGAAAGUUUCGGCGGUUGGGGAUGGACUCGCGGCUUAUCAGCUUGUUGGGGGGGUAGUGGCUUACCAAGGCUUUGACGGGUAGCCGGCCUGAGAGGGUGACCGGCCACAUUGGGGCUGAGAUACGGCCCAGACUCCUACGGGAGGCAGCAGUGGGGAAUAUUGCACAAUGGGUGGAAGCCUGAUGCAGCAACGCCGUGUGCGGGAUGACGGCCUUCGGGUUGUAAACCGCUUUCGCUCAUGACGAAGCUUUGUGUGACGGUAGUGGGUAAAGAAGCACCGGCUAACUACGUG
rnacentral:rRNA from 1 species